rnacentral:lncRNA from 1 species
AAUUCUAAUAGAAUACUAAAUAAAUUCUAAUUAAACCUUAAUAAUGCUAAACAAACUUUAAUUAAAUUCAAAAGAAACCUUAAAGAAAUUACAAAAGAAACAAUAAAAUUUUUUAAAGGAAUUAAAAGAAAAUCUACAAUAAAUCUUAAAAGAAUCUUUAAGAAUUCCAAAAAAUAUUAAAAUAAUCAAAAAUAUAUCUUAAAUAAAUCUCAACCAAGUUUUAAUUUAACCUUAGUUGAAAUCCUAAAUCCUAAAUUCUAAAUCAAACCUUAGAUCAAAUCCUAAACCCUAAACCAAACCUUAAAUCAAACCUUAGAUCCUAAAUCAAAUCCUAAAUCAAAUCCUAAAUCAAAUCCUAAAUCCUAAAUCAAACCUUAGAUCAAAUCCUAAACCCUAAAUCAAAUCUUAAAUCAAACCUUAGAUCCUAAAUCAAAUCCUAAAUCAAAUCCUAAAUCAAAUCCUAGAUCCUAAAUCAAAUCCUAAAUCAAAUCUUAGACCCUAAAUCAAACCUUAAAUUAAAUCCUAGACAAACCUUAAAUCCUAAACCAAUCCUAAAUCUAACCUUUGAAUCUAAACAAAAUCCUAAAUCAAACCUUUGACUCUAAACCAAAUCCUAAAUCAAAUCCUAGAUAAAUCCUAAAUCCUAAAUCAAAUUCAAAUCAAAUCCUAAACAAACUCUAAAACCUAAACCAAAUCCUAGAUCAAAUCCUAAAUCAAAUCUUAGAUAAAUCCUAAACCCUAAAUCAAAUUCAAAUCAAAUCCUAAACAAAUCCUAAAACCUAAACCAAAUCCUAGAUCAAAUCC